AAGACGAACUGUGCGAACGUUAUUCGGAAUCACUGGGCUUACAGGGUGCGUAGGCGGCCUGUUAAGUAGGGUGUGAAAUCCCCCGGCCCAACCGGGGAAUGGCGCUCUAAACUAGCAGGCUUGAGUGAGCUAGGGGUGCAUGGAACUUCCAGUGGAGCGGUGAAAUGUGUUGAUAUUGGAAGGAACACCGGAGGCGAAAGCGAUGCACUGGGGCUUAACUGACGCUGAGGCACGAAAGCCAGGGUAGCGAACGGGA
rnacentral:rRNA from 1 species